GAAAGAUACAGCUGGUGAGGCGACCGGCAAUGGCUUGUAAUAAUAACAGUGGAGGAAAAGAGAUACCAUGCCUGUGUUUUGUUGUACCAGAUUCCUCCUAACCUUGGAACCAGCUGUUUCUCCUGCCUGUUCAUCGCAACGGGCAGCGGCUUAAUUAACGUGCCCUUUUUUGGGGGGGCUCGUUGCUCUGAACAAAUACACAUCAUAUAUCUUUUGGACUCUUCGUUCAGGGAAAACAAAAGAGAGAACUUUUCCUGGCUUGUUUCUCUCCUUUUCUAUCUCUCCAUCAUCUUUCGUUUGUCAGGUGGUGUUCGUCGUUCGUCGCUUCGUCGCAAAGCAAACGGCGAGAUGCAGCACCGGACGAACGCCGCACCAGGGCCAAUGGCGGCGCCUUCGUCGCCGGCGGCGUACGCGCCCGUCGAGCCGCCGGAGCCUCCGGCGCCCAAAUGCGGCUUCGUAACAGGAUUCUUCAUGGCGCUUUGUUGCUGCUGCCUGGUUGACGAAAUGCUCAUGUGACACGGUGAUCCGUAGUAUCAGCAACCGUGUACAGCUUUAGAUUUUAUAUUGUGCUUUAGAAUUAGGUUGUAUAUUUGUAUAUACUCAAAAUCAAAUGACGGAAUAAUUGAUACAUCAUGCAGUGAAAGCCUGUGUUCUCCA